rnacentral:rRNA from 1 species
CCCUUAGUAGUGGCGAGCGAACGGGGAACAGCCCAAACCAGAUUUGUUUCGGCAAAACUGGGGUUGUAGGACCUCUAUAUAGGAAGACAAGAUUAGGAGAACGGUCUGGAAAGGCCGGCCAUAGAACAUGACAGCUGUGUAUCCGAAAAUCUUCGUUGGACUUAGAGGUAUCCUGAGUAGCGCGGGACACGUGAAAUCCUGUGUGAAUCUGCGGGGCCCAUCCCGUAAGGCUAAAUACUCCCGAGAGACCGAUAGUGAACCAGUACCGUGAGGGAAAGGUGAAAAGAACCUCGAACAGAGGAGUGCAAUAGAUCCUGAACCCGUCUGCCUACAAGCGGUAGGAGCAGCUUUUAGCUGUGACUGCGUGCCUUUUGCAUAAUGAACCUACGAGUUACUUUCUCUGGCAAGGUUAAGUGAUGAAGAGUCACGUGAGCCGAAGCGAAAGCGAGUCUGAAUAGGGCGCUUUAGUCAGAGGGAGUAGACGCGAAACCAAGUGAUCUACCCUUGGUCAGGUUGAAGGUUGGGUAAAACCAACUGGAGGACCGCACCGGUAAGCGUUGAAAAGCUUUCGGAUGAACUGAGGGUAGGGGUGAAAGGCUAAUCAAACUUGGAGAUNNNNNNNNNNAAUGCAUUUAGGUGCAGCCUGUGGAGUUUCUUACGUGAGGUAGAGCGACUGAUUGGAUGCGAGGCUUUCACCGGCUAUCAAGUCCAGACAAACUCCGAAUGCACGUUAAGUAAGAUCCACGGAGUGAGGGCAUGGGUGCUAAGGUCCAUGUCCGAGAGGAGAAGAAUCCAGACCAUCGGCUAAGGUCCCGAAAUAAUAGCUAAGUUGACCAAACGAAGUCAGAGUGCGAAGACAGCUAGGAUGUUGGCUUGGAAGCAGCCAUUCAUUUAAAGAGUGCGUAACAGCUCACUAGUCGAGUGCUUUGGCGU